rnacentral:misc_RNA from 1 species
UGUUUUGGGUUGAGCGCGUCUACACAGGGGAGAGAGAAUAUUUUGUUGAUAAAUAUGCUAUGUUGCCAGUGAUUACUUAAUUUUAACAAAAGAAAAAAUUUUAUAAUAAAGUAUUGUAAUUAAUUAUCAUAAAUUGAAGCAUUAAUAUUGUAACGAAAUUCAGAAACACACUCCUACACUUAUUCCAGGAAUACUCUUUUAUGUCAGGAACACACCUUUACUGACAACGUCAAAAAUCCAACCUGACUCGCGUUGACUGUCGUUUAAUCGUUUCUAAGAUAAGCAACAAAACUAAUUAAACUGAUUAAAAUGUCACGAUCUCUUUUAAAGAUCCACUGGAACAAUUUGGACAGUCCAAGGAAGAAAGUAUACAAAUUCCAAAAAAAAUAAAAAAACAGAAAUUUGCAAUAAUAUAACCCAAUUAACCUACAUUUAACUCAAACACUACUUCAAAACUAAACACUGUAGAUGAAAAUAUUAAACUAAACAACCUGGGAAAGCUUCUGAACUUUCUGCGCAGAAGCCAAGUAUUCAUGUACCAUGGAUUAUUAUAAUAAGAUAAACCGCAAAUAACAGGACUAUUUACAUAACUGACUCAAACUAAUAAAUUGUGAAAGUAACAACAAAUAUAACUAUAAUAGAAUUAGAACGGACUUGCCAGUAUUAUUCCUCGUUGGGUCGUAUACAUCUCGAGGCAAUGUAUGUAUGUAAAUCAAUGGUGAGGUCUUGAAGUGCUAUCGGCUGACGGUUGAGGUGUUGGUAGCAGCCUUCUGCCCCAGGUUAAUUAUAGCUUAGCCUUAGCAAACGACUAAGAAGAACAGGAAGGAACCAGCAGAAACUAAGGAAAUUACGCAGAACUUAGUAGACAUUUAGAAGACUUGUAGAGAUUAUGAACCGAUCAUGAAGAAAACCCAAAAUAAGAAACAAAGGUGUAAGAAUUAACAAAGGAACCAACGGCAAAUGAAUAACUAACCCCUAAAGUUUAGUUAAAAAUUAGUUUUCUAACUAAAGUGUAAUUUUGCGGCAAAAUAUCAGCAUGUAUAAUGCAUAACAUAAUAGGCCAGCAAUAAAUGAAUGAAUAAUGAAAAACGACUAUCAGGUCCUCCAGUUAAAUAGCACAAGAUAGGUCUUUGGAAAAAUUUACGGCGAGGAAGACUUUGGUUGACCAAUGUUGUCAAUACAAAUAUUGAAUUCGAAUUGGAAAAAUCGCAAAAAUGAUCGAAUCAAAUCGUAAUCCGGGAAACACAAGUAUAGACAUGCCUUGAUGAAAAACGCAGAACCCAACAUUAAUUCCAUAAUAUCAGUACCGAAUUAUAUUUUAAUAAUUAGUAGCAAUACCCCGGUAUCCAAGCAUAGAUCAAGAUUGACCUUCGUAAAACAAAAUUUGCGAGUGUCUAACGUCCAUUAAGUGGCUAUUACGAAAAAUGAACCUGUUAAUCGUGUUUAUUUUUAUAACUUAGACUAAUAUAUCUAAGCACAAUUGUAAUAUGAUUAUUGUAAAUAAAAGAUAGUUCAAUAGA